GGUCCGUUCGUAUAGUGGUUAGUAUAGUGGAUUUUGACGAACGGAGCAACUUCCAUUGACCCCGGUUCGAACCCGGGACGGACCU
rnacentral:tRNA from 1 species